rnacentral:rRNA from 1 species
CACUCCUACGGGAGGCAGCAGUGGGGAAUUUUGGACAAUGGGCGAAAGCCUGAUCCAGCAAUGCCGCGUGAGUGAAGAAGGCCUUCGGGUUGUAAAGCUCUUUUGUCAGGGAAGAAACGGUGAAAGCUAAUAUCUUUUGCUAAUGACGGUACCUGAAGAAUAAGCACCGGCUAACUACGUGCCAGCAGCCGCGGUAAUACGUAGGGUGCAAGCGUUAAUCGGAAUUACUGGGCGUAAAGCGUGCGCAGGCGGUUUUGUAAGUCUGAUGUGGAAUCCCCGGGCUCAACCUGGGAAUUGCAUUGGAGACUGCAAGGCUAGAAUCUGGCAGAGGGGGGUAGAAUUCCACGUGUAGCAGUGAAAUGCGUAGAUAUGUGGAGGAACACCGAUGGCGAAGGCAGCCCCCUGGGUCAAGAUUGACGCUCAUGCACGAAAGCGUGGGGAGCAAACAGGAUUAGAAACCCCGGUAGUCCCAU